rnacentral:lncRNA from 1 species
AGAAUGGUGGAAGUUUCUGAUGGAGAAAGAGGUCCUUUGAUUUUUGUGGAUGUGUUAGAUGAGAAUCUUGCCACCCGUGUCUUCCGCAAGCCUGGCAUCAUACCCUGGCUUUGAUCCAAUGUGUUGGAGCCCUCCUGGGCUCAUGCCAUAGGGACCAGGGAAGCUGGGCUCUCAAGCCAGGCUGUUCAGAUGCCAGACCCUGAAUGUCUGUGCAUGUGUGUACGUGCACAUUUGUGCACACAUGUAAAAUAAUGGUGGAGCACGACCUUCUCAGCACUCUGUCACCUCUUGCACCCUUUUGAGGCAGGUCCUGCAGAGAUCCACACUCAGGAACACUGGGCUGCUGCCUUAGUCACACAGCUACAAUGAGGAAUGGCCAGGGCAGCUGAGCAGGCACAGGUCCUACCCCGGCCCAAGAAGUCAGAUUGGACCCUCAAAAUGAUCUCUCACUGCAGGACAUCUCUCAGCUGCCACUGCCCCACUUGUGAAGGACACUUGAGCUGCCAUCUGAGAUGUGACACGGGCACCCUGGCCACCUCCACCCCACACCUCACCUGCUGCAUACCUGUAGUCCUGUCAGUGGCCCCUUAGUGUUGGGCUGCCGUGAGGCACACAUAGAUGAUGAGAAGAGCAGGGUCAGGGUGUGUAUUCCUGACUCUCCUUUCAGUGCCUUGGGUGGGCUGUGUCCCAGCACCAAAUGCUAUCCACGUCUCAAGGAAGCAGACUGUAAGUUCCAACCCCAGCUCUGUGCCCUAUCUCCUUCAGCUGGAAAUGUUUUGCUGCUGCUAGCCCAAAGCACUGCUCUGUUCCUCUUGCUCCUGAACCUUCUCCUUCACAGCACACUCUGGAAAGAAUCUCUCGCUUUAGUCCCCCGUUUCAAGUGUGCUGCCUGUUUUGUUGGGAUCUGACUGACGCUCUGCCUGCUAUAUAAGGGCCUCCCUACUUGCUGUUCCUGCUGCCCAAAUGCUUUUCCCUUGAGGUGUUACAUGGACAGCUGCCUUUCAGCUUAAGGAUUUUGUCCUGACCACCAUCCUUCUUAGCCCUUACUCUGCUAGGUCUCCAUCCCAUUGCCCUAGAUUAUAUUCUCCAUUGUGUGUAUGAUGAUGACUCGUCUGGCUUUCUCUCCUUGACUAGAAACCUUGUGAGAGGAGAGGCUUUGUUUGCCUUGUUAAUUUCUGUAUCCUCCAGCCUCAGGCAGAUAGCACCACCUGCAGCAGGCAUGAACUCUAAUGUUGGUUGAAUCUGUGAAUGAAGUGACUUAAUGUGUAGAUCAGGAGCAGCACAAGUGAUCAGUGCAGCACUGGCAGUAAAUAUAUGAACUCGCCUAAAGGAAGCAUGAAUGGGCCACCUGAGAGAAAACGCGUAGAAUGUACACACAUGCGGGAGGCAAAGCGAGGAGCAUGUGAACAGACAUGAGAGGAGUGGGCGGGCUCAUCUGAAGAGUCCCUGGCGAACCAGUCACUUCUGCCCCCAUGGAACUCAGGGGUCAGCUGAGGUCUCUGGCAUCUGUGGGUGGUGGGGGACUGAGCUGGAGCAACCAGGCCUGCAGAUCUCAUGGCUGGGACUGGGAGAGCAGCUCUAGAUCACCCACCUCCAGGAGCUGGGGUUCUGGGUAAGGGGGCAAUGAUAAUGCAGUGUAGAAAGACUUGUGCUGGCUUGCCGGGUGCUGUGUUACUUGGCAGAGAUGCCCACCUUACCAUGAGGAGUCUUUUUGAAGGAGCUCUGCAGGGCAUGUAAUCUGUCCACAUCACUGGGGG